rnacentral:rRNA from 1 species
UACAGAGGGUGCGAGCGUUAAUCGGAAUUACUGGGCGUAAAGGGCGCGUAGGUGGUUGCUCAAGUUGACUGUGAAAUUCCAAGGCUUAACCUUGGGUUGUCAGUCAAAACUAGGUGACUAGAGUAGGGUAGAGGGAAGUGGAAUUUCCGGUGUAGCGGUGAAAUGCGUAGAUAUCGGAAAGAACAUCAGUGGCGAAGGCGGCUUUCUGGACCCAUACUGACACUGAGGCGCGAGAGCGUGGGGAGCAAACAGG